AUUGAACGCUGGCGGCAUGCUUUACACAUGCAAGUCGAACGGUAACAGGCCGCAAGGUGCUGACGAGUGGCGAACGGGUGAGUAAUGCAUCGGAACGUGCCCAGUCGUGGGGGAUAACUACUCGAAAGAGUAGCUAAUACCGCAUACGAUCUAUGGAUGAAAUCGGGGGACCGUAAGGCCUCGCGCGAUUGGAGCGGCCGAUGUCAGAUUAGGUAGUUGGUGGGGUAAAGGCUCGCCAAGCCAACGAUCUGUAGCUGGUCUGAGAGGACGACCAGCCACACUGGGACUGAGACACGGCCCAGACUCCUACGGGAGGCAGCAGUGGGGAAUUUUGGACAAUGGGCGCAAGCCUGAUCCAGCAAUGCCGCGUGCAGGAAGAAGGCCUUCGGGUUGUAAACUGCUUUUGUACGGAACGAAACGGCUCUGGUUAAUACCCGGGGCUAAUGACGGUACCGUAAGAAUAAGCACCGGCUAACUACGUG
rnacentral:rRNA from 1 species